GAUGAACGCUGGCGGCGUGCCUAAUACAUGCAAGUCGAGCGAACGGACGAGAAGCUUGCUUCUCUGAUGUUAGCGGCGGACGGGUGAGUAACACGUGGAUAACCUACCUAUAAGACUGGGAUAACUUCGGGAAACCGGAGCUAAUACCGGAUAAUAUUUUGAACCGCAUGGUUCAAAAGUGAAAGACGGUCUUGCUGUCACUUAUAGAUGGAUCCGCGCUGCAUUAGCUAGUUGGUAAGGUAACGGCUUACCAAGGCAACGAUGCAUAGCCGACCUGAGAGGGUGAUCGGCCACACUGGAACUGAGACACGGUCCAGACUCCUACGGGAGGCAGCAGUAGGGAAUCUUCCGCAAUGGGCGAAAGCCUGACGGAGCAACGCCGCGUGAGUGAUGAAGGUCUUCGGAUCGUAAAACUCUGUUAUUAGGGAAGAACAUAUGUGUAAGUAACUGUGCACAUCUUGACGGUACCUAAUCAGAAAGCCACGGCUAACUACGUGCCAGCAGCCGCGGUAAUACGUAGGUGGCAAGCGUUAUCCGGAAUUAUUGGGCGUAAAGCGCGCGUAGGCGGUUUUUUAAGUCUGAUGUGAAAGCCCACGGCUCAACCGUGGAGGGUCAUUGGAAACUGGAAAACUUGAGUGCAGAAGAGGAAAGUGGAAUUCCAUGUGUAGCGGUGAAAUGCGCAGAGAUAUGGAGGAACACCAGUGGCGAAGGCGACUUUCUGGUCUGUAACUGACGCUGAUGUGCGAAAGCGUGGGGAUCAAACAGGAUUAGAUACCCUGGUAGUCCACGCCGUAAACGAUGAGUGCCAAGUGUUAGGGGGUUUCCGCCCCUUAGUGCUGCAGCUAACGCAUUAAGCACUCCGCCUGGGGAGUACGACCGCAAGGUUGAAACUCAAAGGAAUUGACGGGGACCCGCACAAGCGGUGGAGCAUGUGGUUUAAUUCGAAGCAACGCGAAGAACCUUACCAAAUCUUGACAUCCUUUGACAACUCUAGAGAUAGAGCCUUCCCCUUCGGGGGACAAAGUGACAGGUGGUGCAUGGUUGUCGUCAGCUCGUGUCGUGAGAUGUUGGGCUAAGUCCCGCAACGAGCGCAACCCUUAAGCUUAGUUGCCAUCAUUAAGUUGGGCACUCUAAGUUGACUGCCGGUGACAAACCGGAGGAAGGUGGGGAUGACGUCAAAUCAUCAUGCCCCUUAUGAUUUGGGCUACACACGUGCUACAAUGGACAAUACAAAGGGCAGCGAAACCGCGAGGUCAAGCAAAUCCCAUAAAGUUGUUCUCAGUUCGGAUUGUAGUCUGCAACUCGACUACAUGAAGCUGGAAUCGCUAGUAAUCGUAGAUCAGCAUGCUACGGUGAAUACGUUCCCGGGUCU
rnacentral:rRNA from 1 species